AUUGAACGCUGGCGGCAGGCCUAACACAUGCAAGUCGAGCGGAUGAAGGGAGCUUGCUCCUGGAUUCAGCGGCGGACGGGUGAGUAAUGCCUAGGAAUCUGCCUGGUAGUGGGGGAUAACGUCCGGAAACGGGCGCUAAUACCGCAUACGUCCUGAGGGGGAAAGUGGGGGAUCUUCGGACCUCACGCUAUCAGAUGAGCCUAGGUCGGAUUAGCUAGUUGGUGGGGUAAAGGCCUACCAAGGCGACGAUCCGUAACUGGUCUGAGAGGAUGAUCAGUCACACUGGAACUGAGACACGGUCCAGACUCCUACGGGAGGCAGCAGUGGGGAAUAUUGGACAAUGGGCGAAAGCCUGAUCCAGCCAUGCCGCGUGUGUGAAGAAGGUCUUCGGAUUGUAAAGCACUUUAAGUUGGGAGGAAGGGCAGUAAGUUAAUACCUUGCUGUUUUGACGUUACCAACAGGAUAAGCACCGGCUAACUUCGUG
rnacentral:rRNA from 1 species